AGGACGAACGCUGGCGGCGUGCUUAACGACGAUGCAAGUCGAGCGGAAAGGCCCUUCGGGGUACUCGAGCGGCGAACGGGUGAGUAACACGUGAGCAACCUGCCCUUAGCUCCGGGAUAGCUCCGGGAAACCGGAAUUAAUACCGAAUACGACCUCGGCCGACAUCGGCCUUGGUGGAAAGUUUUUCGGCUAGGGAUGAACUCGCGGCCUAUCAGCUUGUUGGUGGGGUAAUAGCCUACCAAGGCGACGACGGGUAGCCGGCCUGAGAGGGCGACCGGCCACACUGGGACUGAGACACGGCCCAGACUCCUACGGGAGGCAGCAGUGGGGAAUAUUGCGCAAUGGGCGAAAGCCUGACGCAGCGACGCCGCGUGGGGGAUGAAGGCCUUCGGGUUGUAAACCCCUUUCAGCAGGGACGAAGCGAGAGUGACGGUACCUGCAGAAGAAGCGCCGGCUAACUACGUGCCAGCAGCCGC
rnacentral:rRNA from 1 species